rnacentral:rRNA from 1 species
GGUAUUCCGGUAGACGAUGGGGAUGCGUUCCAUUAGAUAGUAGGCGGGGUAACGCCCCACCUAGUUUUCGAUGGAUAGGGGUUCUGAGAGGAAGGUCCCCCACAUUGGAACUGAGACACGGUCCAAACUCCUACGGGAGGCAGCAGUGAGGAAUAUUGGUCAAUGGGCGAGAGCCUGAACCAGCCAAGUAGCGUGAAGGAUGACUGCCCUAUGGGUUGUAAACUUCUUUUAUAAAGGAAUAAAGUCGGGUAUGGAUACCCGUUUGCAUGUACUUUAUGAAUAAGGAUCGGCUAACUCCGUGCCAGCAGCCGCGGUAAUACGGAGGAUCCGAGCGUUAUCCGGAUUUAUUGGGUUUAAAGGGAGCGUAGAUGGAUGUUUAAGUCAGUUGUGAAAGUUUGCGGCUCAACCGUAAAAUUGCAGUUGAUACUGGAUAUCUUGAGUGCAGUUGAGGCAGGCGGAAUUCGUGGUGUAGCGGUGAAAUGCUUAGACAUCACGAAGAACUCCGAUUGCGAAGGCAGCCUGCUAAGCUGCAACUGACAUUGAGGCUCGAAAGUGUGGGUAUCAAACAGGAUUAGAUACCCUGGUAGUCCACACGGUAAACGAUGGAUACUCGCUGUUUGCGAUAUACUGCAAGCGGC